UACGUAUGGAGCAAGCGUUAUCCGGAUUUACUGGGUGUAAAGGGAGUGUAGGUGGCCAGGCAAGUCAGAAGUGAAAGCCCGGGGCUCAACCCCGGGACUGCUUUUGAAACUGCAGGGCUAGAGUGCAGGAGGGGCAAGUGGAAUUCCUAGUGUAGCGGUGAAAUGCGUAGAUAUUAGGAGGAACACCAGUGGCGAAGGCGGCUUGCUGGACUGUAACUGACACUGAGGCUCGAAAGCGUGGGGAGCAAACAGGAUUAGAUACCAGUCCGGCUGACUGACU
rnacentral:rRNA from 1 species